rnacentral:piRNA from 1 species
UAUGUUUGCUAAUGAGCUCAGCUCAAGUGU